rnacentral:rRNA from 1 species
UACGGAGGGUGCAAGCGUUGUCCGGAAUUAUUGGGCGUAAAGAGCUCGUAGGCGGCCUGUCGCGUCGGAUGUGAAAGCCCGGGGCUUAACCCCGGGUCUGCAUUCGAUACGGGCAGGCUAGAGUUCGGUAGGGGAGACUGGAAUUCCUGGUGUAGCGGUGAAAUGCGCAGAUAUCAGGAGGAACACCGGUGGCGAAGGCGGGUCUCUGGGCCGUCACUGACGCUGAGGAGCGAAAGCGUGGGGAGCGAACAGG